AUUAACAUUCAUAGGCCAUAGUAAUUAGGCCUGAAAAUUGACAUAUCAUAGCAAAACAUCCUUUUUAUACGACUGCAAAAAAAUUUUGUGGUCGUAUAUUGGUAUGACGUUGGCGUCGUCGUAAUCGUCCGAAGACACAUUGGUUUUCGCACUCUAACUUUAGUUAAAGUGAAUGGAUCUCUAUGAAAUUUUACCAUAAGGUUCAAUACCACAAAAGGAAGGUGGGGAUUGAUUUUGGGGGUUAUGGUACCAACAGUUAAGGAAUUAGGGGCCAAAAAGGGGCCAAAAAUAAGCAUUUUUAUACGACCGCAAAAAAAUUUUGUGGUCGUAUAUUGGUAUGACGUUGGCGUCGUCGUCGUCGUCGUCGUCGUCGUCCGAAUACAUAUUGGUUUUCGCACUCUAACUUUAGUUUAAGUGAAUGGAUCUUUUUGAAAUUUGACCAUAAGGUUAAAUACCACAAAAGGAAGGUUGGGAUUGAUUUUGGGGGUUAUGGUACCAACAGUUAAGGAAUUAGGGGCCAAAAAGGGGCCAAAAAUGAGCAUUUUCUAGUUUCCAGACAAUAACUGUGGAACGGUGUAUGGAUCUCUCUGAAAUUAUACUACAAGUUUCCAUACCACAAAGGGAUGGUUAGGAUUUGCUUUGGGGGGUUAUGGCUCAAACCGUUUAGGAAUUAGGGGCAAAAAAGGGGGGAAAAACAAGGUUGUCCUGGUUAAUGGACAAAUACUUUAGUACAAAACAUAAUUUAAAGCAGUGUAAGGGAGAUAAAUCAAAUACAUCAUUGAAAUUAUCUCCCUUACACUGCUUUUAAAUUAUGUAUAAAGUAAUGGUUAAUGAACAAUAAAGAUAAUCUAAAACAGUGUAAGGGAGGUAAUCCAAAUACAACGUUUUGGUUACUUCCCUUACACUGCUUUUAAUUAUGUUUAAAGAAAUGCAUAUUUAUAAAGGAAGACCAGUAAAAAUAUCUGCAAAUGUUUUCAUCUUUUUUUUUUACAAAAAAAUCCAUAUGAAAGAUUUGACACUAUAUUUUUAUUAAUUCUAUUAUAAAAUAGAUUAAGUUAGCACUAUUGUAAAUUUAAAUGGGUAAUUAUGGUUGCCAACUCCAUUGGAAAUUUGAAUUGAGAUUAUGACCAUAUCUUGAGGGAAAGAAUUUUUUUGGGGGAAAAAGGGGGGGGGGGGGAUAAAAAGAAAUUGAGGGGGGCCAAUUUUUUUCUCAUUUCAGAUUUCAGAAAUUAAAAAGAAUUAUUCUUCAAAUAUUAUUUUUUUUUCAAAUUUCAAAUAUUGAAAAAUUUCAAGAAGUAAUCUUUAAUUGCACAGUAUGGCGCAUUAGAUUUGUAAAAUCUUUGAUCACAUUUAUUUAUUUGUUAUGCCGAAUCUAACAGUGUAUUUAGAUUUUUAAUUUUGGGUCCAGUUUUCAAAUUGGUCUACAUUAAUGUCCAAAGGGUCCAAAAUUAAACUUUGUUUGAUUUUAGCAAAAAUUGAAUAUAUGAGGUUCUUUGAUAUGCUGAAUCUAAACAUGUAUUUAGAUUUUUGAUUUUUGGCCCAGUUUUCAAGUUGGUCCAAAUUGGGGUCCAAAAUUAAACUUUGUUUGAUUUCAACAAAAAUUGAAUAUAUGGGGUUCUUUGAUAUGCUGAAUCUAACCAUGUAUUUAGAUUUUUUAUUUGUGGACCCCGUUAUCUAAUUGGUUCAUAUUGAGGUCAAAAGGGUCCAAAAUUAAACUUUGUUUGAUUUCAUCUAAAAUUGAAUAAUUGGGGUUCUUUGAUACUCCAAAUCUAACCGUGUAUUUAGAUUUUUAAUUUUAAGUCCCGUUUUUUAAAUUGGUCUACAUUAAGGUCCAAAGGGUCCAAAAUUAAACUUAGUUUGAUUUUCGCAAAAAUUGAAUUCUUGGGGUUCUUUGAUAUGCUGAAUCUAAACAUGUGUUUAGAUUUUUGAUUAUUGGCCCAGUUUUCAAGUUUGUCCAAGUUGGGGUCCAAAAUUAAACUUUGUUUGAUUUUAACAAAAAUUGAAUAUAUGGGGUUCUUUGAUAUGCUGAAUCUAACCAUGUAUUUUGAUUUUGGACAUUGGACCAUAAUAGGUAAAUUAAAAAAAUUCAAGUUCUUAGACCACAUUCUUUCUGUGUCAGAAACCUAUGCUGUGUCAAAUAUUUAAUAACAAUCCAAAUUCAGAGCUGUAUCAAGCUUGAAUGUUGUGUCCAUACUUGCCCCAACUGUUCAGGGUUCGACCUCUGCGGUCGUAUCAAGCUGCGCCCCAGCGAAGCAUUUUAUUGUAACUUCCAGACAUAACUUGUGUGUUAGUGUAUGGAUCUCUCUUACAUUGUUCCACAAGGUUCCAUAUCACAAAGGGAAUGCUGGGAUUGAUUUUGGGGGUAAUUGCCUCCAAAUUUUAGGAAUUAGGGGCCAAAAAGGGGCAAAAAACCAGCAUUUUUCUAGUUUCAUGAAAAUAACUUGUGUGUAAUUGUAUGGAUCUCUCUGACAUUGUACCACAAGGUUCCAUAUCACAAAGGGAAUGCUGGGAUUGAUUUUGGGGGUAAGUGCCUCCAAAUUUUAGGAAUUAGGGGCCAAAAAGGGGCAAAAAACAAGCAUUUUUCUAGUUUCAUGACAAUAACUUGUGUGUAAGUGUAUGGAUCUUUAUGAAAUUGUACUACAAGGUUCCAUAUCACAAAGGGAAAGCUGGAAUUGAGUUUGGGGGUAAUUGCCAAAAAAGUUUAGGAAUAAGGGGCCAAAAAGGGGCCAAAAAUAAGCAUUUUUCUAGUUUCCAGACAAUAACUUGUGUUCAAGUGUAUGGAUCUCUCUGAAAUUGUACUGCAAGGUACCAUAGCAAAAAGGGAAGGCUGGGAUUGAUUUUGGGGGUAAUUUCCUCAAAAUUUUAGGAAUUAGGGGUCAUAAAGGGGCAAAAAAACAAGCAUUUUUCUAGUUUCAGGACAAUAACUUGUGUGUAAGUGUAUGGAUCUUUAUGAAAUUGUACUGCAAGGUUCCAUAUCACAAAGGGAAAGCUGGGUUUGAGUUUGGGGGUAAUUGCCCUUAAUGUUUAGGAAUUUGGGGCCAAAAAGGGGCCAAAAAACAAGCAUUUUUCUAGUUUCCAGACAAUAACUUGUGUUCAAGUGUAUGGAUCUCUCUGAAAUUGUACUGCAAGGUACCAUACUACAAAGGGAAGGCUGGGAUGAGUUUGGGGGUGAUGAAUCAUAAGGGGGUUCAAAAAAUUUUGGGGGGGGGGAUUUUUUUUCCCUUUUUUUUCUUUAAAAUUUUCCAUUUUAAAUUGGUUAUUUCUGAUUUAUAUAUAAAAGCAAAUAAUAAUAAUAUGGUUUGAAUU